rnacentral:rRNA from 1 species
GGCUCAGGAUGAACGCUGGCUGUGUGCCUAAUACAUGCAUGUCGAGCGGAGUAUUAAUUUAUUAGUGCUUAGCGGCAAAUGGGUGAGUAACACGUAUUUAACCUACCUCAAAGACUGGGAUAACAACAGGAAACUGUUGCUAAUACCGGAUAUGUAUUUAGAUCGCAUGAUUUAGAUAUCAAAGGAGCGUUUGCUUCACUUUGAAAUGGGAGUGCGUUACAUUAGCUAGUUGGUAGGGUAAUGGCCUACCAAGGCGAUGAUGUAUAGCUGAGUUGAGAGACUGAACAGCCACACUGGGACUGAGAUACGGCCCAGNNNNNNNNNNNNNNNNNNCUCCUACGGGAGGCAGCAGUAGGGAAUUUUCCACAAUGGACGAAAGUCUGAUGGAGUGACACAGCGUGCAGGAUGAAGGUCUUCGGAUUGUAAACUGCUGUUAUAAGGGAAGAAAAGCUUAGGGAGGAAAUGCCCUAAGUAUGACGGUACCUUGUCAGAAAGCACCGGCUAACUAUGUGCCAGCAGCUGCGGUAAUACAUAGGGUGCAAGCGUUAUCCGAAAUUAUUGGGUGUAAAGAGUUCGUAGGUUGUUUGUUAAGUCAGAAGUUAAAUCCCGGGGCUCAACCCUGGCCCGCUUUUGAUACUAGCAAACUAGAGUUAUAAAGAGGUUAGUGGAAUUCCUAGUGAAGCGGUGAAAUGUGUAGAUAUUAGGAAGAACAUCAAUGGCGAAGGCAGCUAACUGGUUAUGUACUGACACUGAGGAACGAAAGCGUGGGGAGCAAACAGGAUUAGA